rnacentral:rRNA from 1 species
UACAGAGGGUGCAAGCGUUGUUCGGAAUUACUGGGCGUAAAGCGUGCGCAGGCGGCGCGUUAAGACAGGUGUGAAAGCCCCGAGCUUAACUUGGGAAUUGCGCUUGUGACUGGCGUUGCUGGAGUGUGGCAGAGGGAGGUGGAAUUCACGUGUAGCAGUGAAAUGCGUAGAGAUGAUGGAGGAACACCGAUGGCGAAGGCAGC